UCCGUAGGUGAACCUGCGGAAGGAUCACUAACACUAAUCCGUCUCAUCUCAACCAAGCCACUAGUUGCAGCUCUAGGUAGUGCUCGUCACUCCUAUUGCAGCAUCACAAAAACCUAAUCAUACAAAGUCUUAUAACUAAGCUUUAUAACAAAACCAAAUUCUCAACGAUGGAUAUCUUGGUUCCCAUAACGAUGAAGAACGCAGCGAAGUGCGAUAAGCAGUGCGAAUUGCAGAACCGUGAGUCAUCAGAUUUUUGAACGCAACUGGCGCCGGCUGGGUCUCCAGUCGGCAUGCUUGUUUCAGUGUCUUGUUCUCUCCUCACCCAAACCAUAAUGCUGGAGAUACUCUUCUCUUGCUAAGCACGAAAGCACUCUGUGCUCUGCAGGCGGCUUCGGUCGCACUCAAUGCAGCAGUCACGUUGUUUACAAUGUGAACUCAUUGAGAGUAGAGACAGCGUAGUCUAACCACUACCAGUGUUUCGAUCACAUUAACUUGCAUUGCAUCUGAAAUCAAGGCAGGGGGACCACCCGGCUGGAACUUAAGGCAUAUCAAUAAGGCGGGGAGGGGAAGGUCGGACUGGCCAAGGGGGCACACAGGGGGGGGGGAUA
rnacentral:rRNA from 1 species